UACAGAGGUCUCAAGCGUUGUUCGGAUUCAUUGGGCGUAAAGGGUGCGAGUAGGCGGCGCGGUAAGUCGGAUGUGAAAUCUCCGAGCUUAACUCGGAAACUGCAUCGGAUACUAUUCGGCUGGAGGGUUGGAGGGGGGACUGGAAGUUCUCGGUGUAGCAGUGAAAUGCGUAGAUAUCGAGAGGAACACCAGUGGCGAAGGCGAGUCCCCUGGACAACUCCUGACACUGAGGCACGAAAGCUAGGGGAGCAAACAGG
rnacentral:rRNA from 1 species